UGGGUCAUGGUGUAAUGGUAACACUACAGGUUUUGGUUCUGUCAUUCUGGGUUCGAAUCCCGGUGACCCAACAA
rnacentral:tRNA from 3 species